rnacentral:lncRNA from 1 species
GCUUUUUUCAAAACUACCUCUACCCUUUUUUAUUGGGAAAAUAUGCGUUAUUUUCAUAAAAUUGGGAAAUUUAAAAUAAAGCAUGAAUUUGACUGAAACUUCAAUUUACAGACCCAUUUUCAAGAGUCAAAUCCUGCUUUAAGAUAAGACCCCAUUUUGUCAGUGGUGAUACAUAAAUAGACCCUCAAAUGUGCACAUAUAAACAUUUGAGGCAUGAACAUUUUUUAAGUCGUGUUUUUCAGUUUGUAUUCAUGCACAAUUACUACUAAGAUUGCACUGUUUGGGAAAAAGUUGUCUUUUGGGAAUAAUUUUAAGCCUUUUUUUUUCAAAUUGGGAUUCUUCUCCAAGCCUUUAAUUAUACUCCAUUAAUUUAAGGCAAACAAUAUCACUGAUUGAAGAGACCAAAUGGC